ensembl:lncRNA
CUUAACUCUUGCAAUAAACUGAAGAUGCUAACAAUGUUUGCAUAUAUCCAUAUUCAAUACCUGACCAGUAUUGUUUCAUUAUCUCAUUUUUUUUGCCAAAUAAGGUGGUAUAAAAUGGUACAAUAAAGUAAUUUUAAAUUUCAUUGCUUUAAUUACGAGAGAGGAAGCAAACUUUUCUGUACAAUGAUUGUAGGUAUCUAAGAAUUGUCCACAUGUGAUAGAACUGUUCCCAUCAUAUCACACUGCUGCUCAAAAACCUACAAUGCCUAAUCUAAACACAGCACAUAUGCUAUGCUAUGCUAUGCUAAGUCACUUCAGUCGUGUCCGACUCUGUGCGACCCCAUAGACGGCAGCCCACCAGCACAUAAAAGGCGCUAAAUAUUGACUGGCUGUCUUAUUGCUUCUAAAUCCAAAUCUAAGUAAAUAUUUCCCCGGCACAAAGUCAUUAUUUUAGGUAUUGUGUCACUUACGGAUUGAGUGAUUCUCAGUUCCACCUUAUUCGUGGUUUGGACUAGCCUGUGAAAAUGGAUCCUGGGCUUUAAUUUUUCCUGCGGCGCUGGCGCUGACGUUUUGUCAAUAGAGGGCGCCAGAGAGACAAUACAGAAGAAAAAGGACUUCCCUGGUGGCUCAGACGAUAAAGCGUCUGCCUGCAAUGCAGGAGACCCGGAAUCGAUCCCUGGGUUGGGAAGAUCCCCUGACGAAGGAAAUGGCAACCCACUCCAGUACUCUUGCCUGGAAAACCCCAUGGACAGAGAACCUGGUGGGCUACAGUCCAUGGGGUCGCAAAGAGUCGGACACCACUGAGCGCCUUCACUUUCGCUUUCUUCAGGGUGCUUCCUCAGCAGUUCUCCUGCACCUGCGGGGCCAUCGUGUGCCGGGCUCCUCCAGCACUCAGAGGUGCCCUGGUGCCCAGCCUCUUCCCUGUUCUGCCCUGCAGCCAGCAGCCCCACAGACCCCACCUCCCCGACUCCAUCCUCGGUGUCUCCACACUCUCCUGCAGUUUUAUAGUAGAGUGCCUCCAGUGAUCAAGACAACUGCCCAUGAACUCUUUUCCUUCACACUUCAGAGCGCAGCUUUCUAGAAAUGUCCACUGUCUGGCACCGACAAUAACUUCUCUAGCUUUCGGAUAAACAAAACAAACCUCUGGCCAGGCUCACCAAGAAGAAAAGAGAGAAGACCCAAGUAAACCAAGUAAAAAACCAAAAAAUACGAGUGCCCACUGUACUAUCACUGUUAUCUCUGUUUGCUUAUUGAGGCAAACAUUAUCAGUAGAUGGUAACACCACAGAACCAAAUAUUCAUACAGUCUCCAAGUCUCCCCAUAGAUCAUUUACCGAUGACAAAGGAGAAAAAGGAAUCUUUCAAGUUGAGAAUUAAGGCAGACAUCACCUAAUCAAGUAAUCAAACUUAACAUCAUCGAUAAGACCAAAAAGUUGGGGAAAGGGAAUGCUUUGAACACAUUCUUUACAAGUGAGAAAAUAACUGCUCUAAGCAAAUGAUCAAUAAAAAAGGUGAUCUAUAUCAGUAAUUAUCAUGUAAUGACAAAAUUUAAAACACAAUGAAAUGCCACUAUAUGCCAACCAGAAUGACUUAAAAAUUUAAAAGACCAACAAUACCAAGUGCUGGUAAGGAUAUGGAGCAACUGGAACAUUCUCUUAAAUUACUGGAAUGUUCAUUGAAAUAGCCACUAUUGAAAACUGUCUAGCAGUAUCUACUAUAGCUAAACAUAUACCAAUCUUGUAACUCAGCACUUCACUCCUAGAUAUAUAUCCGGGACACGAGGACACAGAAGCAAUUAGAUAUUUGUACAAGAAUGUUCAUCACAACUAUUGAGUGGAAGGACAAAGGCUGUUGGGGAACAAGAUAGCAUAACAUGUUACAUAACAUAUUAUCAGGGCUUCCGUGGGAGUGCAGAGGUAAAGAACGCCCCUGCCAAUGCAGGUGAUGCAAGACGUACAGGUUUGAUCUUGGAUUGGGAAGAUCCCCUGGAGGUGAAAAUGGUAACCUGCUCUGGUCUUCUUGCCUGGGAAACCCCAUGGACAGAGGGGUAACAGCUUGUACAACUCAACAACAACAAAAAACAAUCCUAUCCAAAAAGUAAGCAGAAGACCUAAGUAAGACAUUUCUCCAAAGAAGACAUACAGAUGACCAAUAGGCACAUGAAAAGAUGCUGAACAUCACUACUUAUUAGAGAAAUGAAAAUCAAAACUAUAAUGAGGUAUCACUGUCCUUCUUUUCUUCUUUGUUGAAAAAAGGCUUUAGUCUCCUAGACCUUCUCUAACUUUCAAAGAGCAGUUACUAAUUAAGGAAGUAGGAAACAGGGAUAAAAAGGAAAAGCAGUCCAGCAAGAAAAUUAAUGACAGCUUAAACAAUUCUUCAGGGAUAAAACAAUGUCGUAGUUCUUCCUCAAGGGAUACAUAUAACAAUCUGAUGCAUAUUUGGGGUUAUUCCGCAGAAACUAAGCCCCUCACCCAGGUGGAGGAUGGUGCCUACAUGCUGACCACAUUAUGUAGACCCCAGACUGAGUGGAACCAGAAAGCUGAUGAUUAAGAUUCCCAAAACAGCACCUUGUUACCUCAACACCAACCAAUCAAAAUUAAGUCAAUGAAUUACAACACUCAUCCCAAAUAUCACCUUUCAAAAGCCUGCCUGGAGGACCAUCAGGGAAUGUGGGUCUUCGGAGCAUUAGCUGCCCAUUCCUCUACAUUGUGCUGUACGCUGUGACUACUUUGGCUUUGUUGCACAUGGGCAAGCCGACCCAAGUUCAGUCUGGCAACCAUAUGAGAGUCACAUGUGUAACUUGCAGAGCUGUAAAUAUUUGUAAAGUGUCUGGCAUGUACUUGGUACAUAUUAGGUAGCUAUUAUUAUUGUGAGUCCUCUGGAAAUACAGACCAAAUAUUCUAACUGCCCGUCUUACCAGUAAGCUGGCAGUGUGGUAUGCAGAGUUUCCUGAAAUCAAUGUUUCAAAAUUUGAUCUUUGUAAUACAAGGCUCAAAGGUUGAUCGGAGAACUUCUGUUCACUACAGCUUAAUGAAAGUCUCUACUUGCUGGCGGCCACACCAGUGUCUAAAAGGGACACGCAUGGUUCCUACCACAUAGUAGGCGCUCAGUUUCACACAAUGUUAAUCUUAGGGAGUGUGGCUUUUUUUUUUUUUCAAGUAUCACAUGCACUAAAAAUGACAGCAGUACAAAAAUGUCAAUUCAGUACUCUAUAGAUGGAGUGGUGAUCUCCCGAGGGCCUCAGCCUGAAUGUCAUGCCAUUUGCUGAAGAUAGAAGCACCUGUGAGAUUUCUACGCUGGUCCCUGAUCUCUCUGAAGGCUCAUUGUUCUCACUGUUGAAGGGUGGAAAGCUGUUUGACUUGUCAGUUGGCAGGCAGAUACAAGUAAAAUGUUUUUAAAGGAUUAAGUUGUUUAACAUAUGUGAAGAUUAAGAUAUUAUCUAUUGCUUCAUGGGAUGUUGUCUUUACAGUCUUUGUUAAUUCUUAGUUGAGAAAUAGGCAAAUUGAAAAAGACUGCUCAUGAUACCUCGGGUCAUUAUUUGAGGAUGGCACUUCCUGACCAAAUUACAUCACUUAUAAGAUGAGGUACAUUCAUUUCAAAAUAGAAAAUUAUCACUGCUUAAAUACAUAUAUGCUUUAUCAUACUUUUAUUAAAUAAGGGCUUGUCAUCAGGUCCUGUUAUCUUUUUACCCAAAGGAAACUCAGAAACCAGAGGUUGAAUAAUUAGCCUAUAACAAAUUGAUUCAUUGACAGGGUCAGGAAAAUUAGAUUUCUCUCUAUUAAACUGAUCUUUAAUUUUAUCAUCAAAGAGC